AGAAACUUAUCAGGAUUUCCUUAGUAACUGCGAGUGAAUCGGAAGUGACCCAUUUUUAUAAUCUAGAGAUAUUAUUCUCUCGAAUUGUAGUUUAUAGAAGUACUAUAGGUGAUGGAAUAAAUGCAUAUCACUUGGAAAGGUGUGUUAAAAAGGGUGAAAGCCCCAUGGUGUUUAUUUAUUACUGCUUAAUAUUGUGCUAUCAAUGAGUCGGGUUGUUUGGGAUUGCAAUCUAAAUGGGUGGUAAAUUUCGUCCAAGGUAAAAUAUUUUCGAGGGACCGAUAGAAAACAAGUACCGUGAGGGAAAGAUGAAAAGAACUUUGAAAAGGGAGUCAAAUAGUGCUUGAAAUUAUCGAGAGGGAAGCAAAUGGGUGUUCUUUUUUACCUUUUUCUCAAUAGUAGAGUUCAUGAAAGUUCGUCUGCUUGUUGGUUUAAGGAUCUGGGUGGUGUCAGAUUUAGAUAUGGUGGAUGAAUGUGAGGUUGUAAUAUUUCUUUUUAUUUUUGUUAUCUAAAUUGUUGCUUAUAUUAUGUAUUCAGUUUUGAUUUAUAUCGGCAUUUUUUAAACACCAUUGAUAUGGAUGCUUAUUUGACCCGUCUUGAAACACGGACCAAGGAGUCUGACAUGUGUGCGAGCUGAUGUGUUGGAAACACUUUAGGCAUAAGGAAGCUAAAUAAUGGGAUCUCUUGCACUAUUGAUUGACCUUGAUCUUUUGAGAAGGGUUUGAGUGUGAGUAUGCUUGUCGGGACCCGAAAGAUGGUGAACUAUGCUUGAGUAGGGUGAAGCUAGAGGAAACUCUGGUGGAGGCCCGUAGCGAUACUGACGUGCAAAUCGUUCGUCUGACUUGGGUAUAGGGGCGAAAGACCAAUCGA
rnacentral:rRNA from 1 species